UUUUUCAUGAUUACCUAGCAUUACACAUAUAUCAUAGACUAAGUGGAACUAAAUUAUAUGUUAAAAGUGUUACAAAUUAGUGAUUUUUUUUUGGGGUUAUUAAAAUAAACCCUAUGUAGUCAACAAUGAAACAGUUGCAUGAUGGACACAAUGAAACAAUGUUUCAUUGUGUACCAUCUUGUUUGAUUGUAUAAUACCAUAUACCAAACAAAAUCUACUGUCCGUGCAAAUAAUCAUUUUUAAGGCUAUAAAUUACUAGGUUAUCCUAAAAUUUGAUGUUUAUUUUUCAUUUAAGAUGGCGCGAACUAAAUCUCUAAAGAGGAAGAAAGGUGAUCAUUUAGGAGAUAAUAUAAAAAAAUAUAAUAGUAAAUAGUAAGGAGUUAUCUUAACUAGUUAUAGGUAAUCUGAUGAGUCUGAUUAAAUUUCAAUUAUUAAUAAAACCUUUUGAUUGAA